GGGCCGGUAGCUCAGUGGUAGAGCAGCGGACUCAUAAUCCGUCGGGCGCAGGUUCGAUCCCUGCCCGGCCCA
rnacentral:tRNA from 2 species